rnacentral:sRNA from 1 species
AGCUGUUCCCCUCUGGAGGUAUAAAUUACCUUCACACUUCAUGGGCCGCGAUUUUCGCAGGCCCAUUUUUUUUGCCCAU